rnacentral:lncRNA from 1 species
AAAUGGUUGCUGGGAUUUCGUGUAUUUCUGAGGACAUACUUGUGGCAAGCUUGCUUUUUAUAAAUGUUCAAGACAAGUUCACUUCCAUGACUUGUAUAGAAUGGUAAAUUUCAGCCCAAAUGCCUCUCCCCUGUGCCAUUUAUGUUCUGGAGUACAACCUUCUUCCUUUUAACCCAUAUGCUUGGUAGAUGCCUAGGUAAAACUGUUGCUCUCCCUGUCUUUGCUUUAUGACAGCAUAAAAAGGGUCCCAAAACGUGGGACAAUUUCUUACCACUAGGUUAUACAACCGAGAGAUAAUAAGAACUUAAGCUUGCUUUGAAGGGGGCAAAUAUUCUAUGUCUCAAGUUAUUGGUUGGAAAAUUGGGAAGUUAAAAGUUUUAAUAAUGUUGCAUCAGAUCUGUGCAACCAUCUUCUUAGGCUUAAAACUCAUUAAUUUUUGAAUGACCUUAAGCCUGUCUGGAUUACUGUGUACUAUCUUGUUAUGCAUUUGCUUUAGUGGUAUAUGGUUUUUCAAGGUUGAUGCUAAUGCGCUUGCAUUGUUUUCUUGGUUCAGCUCUGCGGGCACCAGUACAACCCCUUCCACGACAACUCCCUCAACCACACCAUCAAC